GGGAAUUCGAUUAGAGUUUGAUCAUGGCUCAGAUUGAACGCUGGCGGCAGGCCUAACACAUGCAAGUCGAGCGGUAGAGAGAAGCUUGCUUCUCUUGAGAGCGGCGGACGGGUGAGUAAUGCCUAGGAAUCUGCCUGGUAGUGGGGGAUAACGUUCGGAAACGGACGCUAAUACCGCAUACGUCCUACGGGAGAAAGCAGGGGACCUUCGGGCCUUGCGCUAUCAGAUGAGCCUAGGUCGGAUUAGCUAGUUGGUGGGGUAAUGGCUCACCAAGGCGACGAUCCGUAACUGGUCUGAGAGGAUGAUCAGUCACACUGGAACUGAGACACGGUCCAGACUCCUACGGGAGGCAGCAGUGGGGAAUAUUGGACAAUGGGCGAAAGCCUGAUCCAGCCAUGCCGCGUGUGUGAAGAAGGUCUUCGGAUUGUAAAGCACUUUAAGUUGGGAGGAAGGGCAGUAAAUUAAUACUUUGCUGUUUUGACGUUACCGACAGAAUAAGCACCGGCUAACUCUGUGCCAGCAGCCGCGGUAAUACGAAUCACUAGUGAAUUCGCGGCCGCCUGCAGGUCGACCAUAUGGGAGAGCUCCC
rnacentral:rRNA from 1 species